rnacentral:lncRNA from 1 species
AACAGGGGGCCAUGGUGGUGCUUGGGUCAACUGUCAUUCGUGUCCACUCAGAUCCUAUGUCUAAUAGUCCUUGAAAGAUCUAGGGGUUCUCCUUUCUCCAGUGUAGAAUUACUCAGGUAAAUGGCUAAGGGAGUCUCUGGGGAGGAUUGGGGGAAGAGCUACCACAGAUAUUUGGUGUGGUUUGUGCAGCAUCCUUCCUCAAAGGGAGCCGGCCUCCCCUUCAAUCAAUGAGUCCUGGAUCUUAGAGCUGACUCACAUGCAGAAACUGGGGAUGCUGCUUCCCUGCCUGAACCUUACUGAGACUUGACCAUAAUUGAUCUACAGCAAAGGGGAGAGGCAGGAGCAGAUCUUCAGGACAGCAAACAUUGUCUGGGAAGGUGGAGAAUUCUGCAGAAUUUCAGAAGCACUGGCUUAGUGCGUUGGAAAUCGUUGAGGCCCUGCCAGACCGUCCGCAUGCCAUCCAAACCUCCGCAUCAAUGAAAGGGAACUCAGCAAGCAGGAGCUAAGCAGCAAGUAGCCACUGCUCAGUUUGAGGUCCCAGGACAGGAAGAAUUCCUGCAGCAGACACUAAUUGCUUAGGUAAUAGCCAUUCUUCCUUUCUAACAGAAUCCCAGUUACCAUGUGGGUGACGAUGUGUUGUGCUAAAAGUACCUGUCUUC